rnacentral:lncRNA from 1 species
UUGCGCAGUUAGAAUUGUUUCCUAGUAAAACUUGUUUUAAAAAAGUCAUUAGGUCAAGUAGCCUUACUCAUAUGUUUGGGCACGAAACCGCUUGGUUCUAUGAUUACAGACUCGGGUUUAGCCUCAUUUCAGCGUCAGAAUAUUCACGAAUACCGACGGUAAAGCUACUCAACUUCAACAAUACAAACACUUCGAAAUUCCAUGGCCCAUCACUGGAACACAGUCUCAUUAAUGUAAUAACAAAUGUCAAUCUUAUACGUACAGUGAAUAUUCUAUACCGGGCAAAAUCGAGGCUAACCCCGGCUGAGCAAUAGAAAACUGGAAACUGAAGUAUUCUAGCUCUACAGGUUAUCUCUCCUGAAGCUGCCACGACUUUUAGAAGAAACGGUUUAAACAUUCCCUCGUGCUGAGCGACCAAUCCGCAACGAGACGCUCUUUGAAUGUCGAUCUAUGANGUACUCCAACACACGACCCACUUGCCCUCGUUUCUCC